CUGCGCGCGAGGUGGCUACGGGGCCGGGCACCGCCUCUUCCGCCCCGCCGGGCGUCGCACGAGGC
rnacentral:miRNA from 1 species